GGGAGCCGGCAGCCCGGCCCGCGCGCGCGACCGGCCCCGAGUGGGGCAGGGGCUGCUGCGAGCGCGUGCGGCGGCGUUUCGGACGUAAGUCUCACCCUGGCGGCUCCGUCCCCGAGCCCGCGAACGCUGUGCCGAGUGCGGGAGGCCGGGGCCGGGCCCCGCCAGUGGCCAUUCCUGGGUUGAGGAGGGAGCGCCGCUCGGGGCGGUGAACUGAGACUGCAGACUUAGGGGGAUGUGGGUGUUGGGGAAAGUGUGGAGACGCCUCCCUUUUUUUUUUUUUUUUUAACAUUUUUCCAUCCCCAGCUGUGCCCUUCCCCACCCUUUCCUUUCUCUGUCUCCCAUUUUUUCCCCCUCUUCUAAUUCCUUUUCCUCGCAGAAGUCCUUUGGCGAAAGAAAACUUCAUUUGAAGGCCCUGAGUGUGAAUAAAGGUCUGAGGUGUGCUGAAUGAAAUUGCCACAAAUUUGAUUUUGUGUACUGCCAAAGGCACGUUGGAGGGGAAACGUCAAAGAUUCCAAACAAGCUUCAACUUGAGGGUUUUGGUAUUCAAGUGAUUUUUUUUUUCUUUCUGCUCUGAGCUCUUUGUAAGGCAACCUUAGUUUAAUGAAAAGGAUCGUAUAAUAGUAAACAUACGACAUUUAACGGUAAGAUAAGAAAUCAGAAGGAACAAGAUCCCUCCAAAAACAAUGUCAAAGUAACCGAUUUAUUUGCUAUCCAGCAAGUUACGUGAUUGCUAGGCUGAAAGAAGAGGUGGAAUGAUGGAGGAGAGGAGGCCUGAAACACAAUUGAUUGGAAAAAAAUAAAAAUUUGCCGAAUCCACCCGCCAAAUGUAAAGAUUAUUGCUGUUUGUAAAGACCAAUAAAGUCUACUGAAACUGUAACAACAAAAAAAAUUGCCAGUGGCUGAAAUGACAAAAAAAAUCCGUAGUCUUAUGUACAGUUUCUAACACUUGUAGCAAAUAUGUUGGGAGACUUCAGAUGAGAAAAGUACAAAAAGUAAUAUAUGAAUCUUAGAAGCUUUUUGUAAACUGGCAGCAAAGUUCCUACUAAUUUGUUGUUUAAUAACUUGGUACUUGCUGAAAUUGAUACAUGCCAUUUGAUCAAAAGAAGGAAACUGGGGUAAGCUAUGGGAGAAACAGUUCGAGACAAUGUACAGUUUGAUCCUUACUGUUCGAGGAUUCUACAUUUCAAAUUCACCUACUCACUAAAAUUUAUUUGUAGCCGUAAAAUCAAUGCACGGCACCAUUUGUAGACAGCUUGCACGUUUCCAGCUGAGGUUGAACAAGGCAGCCCUCCGUUAUUUUAGCUCGUACUGUUAACUGUCCUCUUCUCAGUAUAUUAGUGCCAUGUGGUUUCUUUGCAUUUUUUGUACUUUUUUUUGGUGAUUUUGCUGUUGUAGAUGUCCCCACAAGUAUUGCUGAAGUGUUGUCUAGUAUUCCUAAGAAAAAGAAGGUUGUGACAUGCCUUAUGGAGAAAACACAUGUGCUAGACUCAUCCUCAUCUACUACCAAAUGUUGAGAUUCUUCAAGAAGCAGUCCUUUGGAAGUGACAUCAGUGAAAAUGGAAAAUAGGGAACUCUAAGAGCCUAUCCUUCCACAAAAACAGUGACUACGUUGGCAAAAAUUGUCAGAAUCAACUUCAUGUGAACUCUGGAAACUAAUCAAAGGUUUAUAGUGACCAGGCAAACACUUUUGAAAAAAGCUGGCGGAAUCUCAGGAGGAGAGCUUGUAUUGCUUAAAUUUACCCUGGCCCCAUCUCUCUGUCUCCAGUUUGGCAGCAGUUUUGAAUUUCUGGUAUGUGUUCCUGGUGCCAAAGGGAGCAGUUUUCAAAGAAUUGUGGUGUUUUAUUUUAGUUCACCAAACUCGGAAAUCUCCCAAGGCAGAAAGGUGACUACAUAGGGAGCAUUUGUCAAAAAUAUUUAAAGGCGAGUUUAUUAGCCUCAGCCAUCUGGGGCAGGGAAUAACAGUUGAAACAAACAGUAUACACACUAAAAAGCCUGGGAGGAAAAGCCAGAGAGUAAGAUACUUUGGGGAAUAGAAGCUUUAACAGUUCCCACAUAUUCCUGGGAAUCCACAAGGCCACAUGCACACCCAGAGUAGGGCAAAUGCUCAGAAAAGAUUUGAGAAGUCCCUAAACUGUCAACUCGAGCUAACCGUCAGGCUUUGCUCAAAUAGGAAGUGAAAGCUAAGGUAGAUUUGUAAGUUCUCCAGCUGAAUGUUGAAGGUGUGCCCCAACACCUACACAGAGCCCGCUGGCAAAGACCAGUUUUUUCUUUUUGUUUGAGUUACAGGCAUUUAAGAAAAUCAGUUGAAUCACUAGAUGACCAUUAGGCUAACAGAACAGAGACUCAGCUGGCCACACACAGCAAGGAAUACAGACUUUACCAAGUUCAGAAACGUCACUAAACAUGACAAUCACAACAAGUAGAAACAACAAACUGUGAGGAGGAAAGAGAAUCUGAUUUUCAGAGUUAACCACAUUUUAAUAUGCAGAAUAUUGUGUUUUUAGCAAAGAUUAUGAAAUAAGCAGAAAAACAAGACAGUAUAGACUAUACACAGGAAUAAAAGAAAUUAAUAGAAACUGCCCCUGAGGAAGCACAGAUAUUAGACACACUAGACAAAGAUUUUUUGUCAACCCUUUUAGAUACGCUAGAAGAGCUAAAGGGAACCAUGCACAAAGAACUAAAGGAAAUCAGGAGAGCAAUGUCUCACCAAAUAGAGAAUAUCAGUAAAGAGACUGAAAUUAUUUAAAAAAAAAAAAAUACAAAUGCUGGAGUUGAAAAGUAUAACUGAAACUAAAAAUUUACUAGAGAUUCAGAAGCAAACUUGAGAAGUCAGCAGAAGGAAUCAACAGAAUUCAAGAAGAGGCCAAUUAAGAUUACCCAAUCUGAGGAGCAGAAAGGAAAGAGAAUGAAGAAAAAUGUGGGACUCCAUCAAGCAUACCAAUAUGCACAUAAUGGGAGUCCCAGAAGGAGAAGAAAGAAGGGAAAGGGACAGAAAGAAUAUUGGAAGAAAUAAUGAUCAAAAACUUCCCAACUUUGAGGAAAGACAUGAAUAGGUGUUCAAGAGGCUCAAAGAACCCUAAGUAGGGUAAACUGAAACCCACACCAAGACACAUUAUAAUUAAACUGUCAAAAGUGAGUGAUAAAUAAUAAUUUUUUUGAAGAGUCAGUGACAGAAUCCUGAGAACACCAAGAGAGAAGGAAGCAGCUUCUCACGUGCAAGGGAUCCUCAAUUAACAGCUGACUCCUCAUUAGAAACCAUGGAGGCCAGUAGGCAGUGGGAUGACAUACUCAAAAUGCUGAAAGAAAAAAAAACUGUCACCCAAGAAUUCUAUAUCCAGCAAAACUAUCCUUCAAAAAUGAAGGAGAAAUUAAGACAUUCACCAAUAAAUACUCAAGAGUGUGACACUAGUAGAUCUGCACUAUAAGAAAUACUAAAGGGAGUUCAUCCUGAAA